rnacentral:rRNA from 1 species
GAUGAACGCUGGCGGCGUGCCUAAUACAUGCAAGUCGAGCGAACAGACGAGGAGCUUGCUCCUCUGACGUUAGCGGCGGACGGGUGAGUAACACGUGGAUAACCUACCUAUAAGACUGGGAUAACUUCGGGAAACCGGAGCUAAUACCGGAUAAUAUAUUGAACCGCAUGGUUCAAUAGUGAAAGACGGUUUUGCUGUCACUUAUAGAUGGAUCCGCGCCGCAUUAGCUAGUUGGUAAGGUAACGGCUUACCAAGGCAACGAUGCGUAGCCGACCUGAGAGGGUGAUCGGCCACACUGGAACUGAGACACGGUUCAGACUCCUACGGGAGGCAGCAGUAGGGAAUCUUCCGCAAAGGGCGAAAGCCUGACGGAGCAACGCCGCGUGAGUGAUAAAGGUCUUCGGAUCGUAAAACUCUGUUAUUAGGGAAGAACAAAUGUGUAAGUAACUAUGCACGUCUUGACGGUACCUAAUCAGAAAGCCACGGCUAACUACGUG